CUGCUUCCAGUAGUCUAAAAAACCCAUUUUUUGAUGAUAAUUGACUACAAUGUCUAGGGUAAUUGAUUACACCUGCUGGCAGUAGCAAGAAUACUGCAUCUUUUAGCAGUAAUGCAGUAUCCUUUACACUCUAAACCAAUCCCAAUGCUUGUAUCAAUACACAUUGAAAUCUUUACAUAACUAUGCAACAACCAACCAUAUCAUCCAUGCAUUAAACCAAGCUCUUAACAAUUCAA
rnacentral:lncRNA from 1 species